rnacentral:rRNA from 1 species
UACGUAGGGUGCAAGCGUUGUCCGGAAUUAUUGGGCGUAAAGAGCUCGUAGGCGGUCUGUCGCGUCGGCUGUGAAAACCCGGAGCUCAACUCCGGGCCUGCAGUCGAUACGGGCAAACUGGAGUGUUGCAGGGGGGACUGGAAUUCCUGGUGUAGCGGUGAAAUGCGCAGAUAUCAGGAGGAACACCGGUGGCGAAGGCGGGUCUCUGGGCAACAACUGACGCUGAGGAGCGAAAGCGUGGGGAGCGAACAGG